GACGAACGCUGGCGGCGUGCUUAACACAUGCAAGUCGAACGGAAGGCCCUGCUUUUGUGGGGUGCUCGAGUGGCGAACGGGUGAGUAAAACGUGAGUAACCUGCCCUUGACUUUGGGAUAACUUCAGGAAACUGGGGCUAAUACCGGAUAGGAGCCCCUGCUGCAUGGUGGGGGUUGGAAAGUUUCGGCGGUUGGGGAUGGACUCGCGGCUUAUCAGCUUGUUGGUGGGGUAGUGGCUUACCAAGGCUUUGACGGGUAGCCGGCCUGAGAGGGUGACCGGCCACAUUGGGACUGAGAUACGGCCCAGACUCCUACGGGAGGCAGCAGUGGGGAAUAUUGCACAAUGGGCGGAAGCCUGAUGCAGCAACGCCGCGUGCGGGAUGACGGCCUUCGGGUUGUAAACCGCUUUCGCCUGUGACGAAGCGUGAGUGACGGUAAUGGGUAAAGAAGCACCGGCUAACUACGUG
rnacentral:rRNA from 1 species